rfam:Myotis lucifugus cont2.4625, whole genome shotgun sequence.
GCCAGUGUCGCUCAGUGGUUAGAGUGUUGGCCUUCGCACCAGAGGGUCACGGGUUCAAUUCCUGGUCAAGGGCA